UAACACCAGCGCCACAAGUGGCAACCGCAAUUAUUAGGCCUAAAGCAUCCGUAGCCGGUUUAAUAAAUCUUUUGUGAAAUUGUUGGGCUUAACCUAACAGUGUGCAGAAGAGACUGUUAAACUUGGGACUGGGAGGAGUUAGGAGUAUUCUUAGGGGAGCGGUAAAAUGCUAUAAUCCUAAGAGGACUACCUGUGGCGAAGGCGCCUAACUAGCACAGAUCCGACGGUGAGGGAUGAAAGCCAGGGGAGCAAUCCGGAUUAGAUACCCGAGUAGUCCUGGCUGUAAACUCUGCGAGCUAGGUGUUACAUAUUCUUCGUGAAUAUGUAGUAUCGAAGCGAAGGUGUUAAGCUCGCCGCCUGGGGAGUAUGGUCGCAAGACUG
rnacentral:rRNA from 1 species